rnacentral:rRNA from 1 species
AUUGAACGCUGGCGGCAGGCCUAACACAUGCAAGUCGAACGAGUGGCGGACGGGUGAGUAAUGUCUGGGAAACUGCCUGAUGGAGGGGGAUACCUACUGGAACCGGUAGCUAAUACCGAAUACCUUGGGAUGUGCCCAGAGGGGUUUAGCUAGUAGGUGGGGUAAAGGCUCACCUAGGCGACGAUCCCUAGCUGGUCUGAGAGGUUGACCAGCCACACUGGAACUGAGACACGGUCCAGACUCCUACGGGAGGCAGCAGUGGGGAAUAUUGCACAAGGGGCGCAAGCCUGAUGCAGCCAUGCCGCGUGUAUGAAGAAGGCCUUCGGGUUGUAAAGUACUUUCAGCGGGGAGGCGUUACCCGCAGAAGAAGCACCGGCUAACUCCGUGCCAGCAGCCGCGGUAAUUC